GCCAAAGCUUUUGCGCUCUCCCUCGUGCCACGUUGCUUCUCAUUUUGGGCUUGGUCUCCACUUCCCAGUCCUUGAAGGAGUUCUCCAGGUCUGCCCCAUUAGCACUGCAUCUCAGAAGGAAGCUGCAGCUGCGCCGCCAAUCUCCCGGUGGUAGGUGCUUAAUAAACAUUAUGAAGUGCAUGAACAAAUGAAUAGCCCCUGAUGGACAGACAUGCUUGAGAAACACUAUUUUUCACAUUCCUAUCUACACUCAAGAUUUUACCUAUGAUAGCAGGCUGAAGAUUCCCAGGAUCUUACAUCCUAGGCCCUAACAGUUCAGCUGAGCUGAAAGGAUGAGGAGGAAGCCCUUGGCGAUGGAACUUCUAGACAAGCCAAGGCCUGCCUGGCAGAGCU
rnacentral:lncRNA from 10 species